rnacentral:rRNA from 1 species
CUUUUAACAAUGGAUCUCUUGGUUCUCGCAUCGAUGAAGAACGUAGCAAAGUGCGAUAACUAGUGUGAAUUGCAUACUCGUGAAUCAUCGAGUCUUUGAACGCAGCUUGCACUCUAUGGAUCUUCUAUAGAGUACGCUUGCUUCAGUAUCAUA